AGGUCCACCUUGUAUGAUGUGACAAUCUUAUUCAAUAUUUCUGAUUUUGAGAAAAGCAUUUGCCAAUCAUAUCAAACAUCAGGUUACUGAGGACUGUGGAUAAAAUUGAUAUGGUGUUUUGUUACCAUGCUAUGGAGGGUAAUGGUGGAUGAGUGAGGGAUGACACUAACAGGACAAUAAGAAUCGCGUUUGAGAGAAGUGAAAUGCAUUCUAAGCUAGUAUUUCAUCUUAGCCAAGUAUUCAAGUUUAUGAAACUACUGUCUGUCUGUAAGACAGGUAUUACGAUGUAAGCAAAUACAGUUGUAGCAAAUAAUAUUAUAUCUUUGAUAAAUAAACUUGAUUUGAAUUUA